CGACAAAUCUUACCACUUCUUGCAUAAUCUUCCAAUUCUUCUCUUCGGGAAUCUUUGGAAGAUUACAGGUGUUGCAUGGCUGUCUUUAGUUCGUGUUGUGAAAUGUUAGGUUAAUUCCGAAAACGAACGAAACCCUUUUCUUUAAUUACUAUACUUUAAAGAUCUCUCUUUCGAUAGGAAAGAUGAAAGAGGAUGAAGACAAGUCCUCAUGACCCUUAUGAAGUGGGCUACAGACGUGCUACAAAAGUUUCUACAAAGGGAAGCAACAAUGAAAAUUAGAGCUAAUCCUCAAAGGAAAUUUCAGUACGGAUAAGAAUCUGAAACUCGAUUCUUUGAAGA
rnacentral:rRNA from 1 species